GCUCGGGCUGGCCCGGAGCGCAGGCGGCGGGUUCGCCCCUGAGCGAGCUCCGGCAGGGGCCAGGCCCUCCGCGGGAGGCUUUCCCUGGGCGCAGUUAGGCUGGUAGCUGGUUAAACGUAAUAUAUCGAUAAUGUUAACGCGCUAACGCCGUCUGUGAGCAACAGCAUAUUGCUUUAUGUAGAGACCUGGGGAAAAAUAGGGGUCUCUAGUCGAACACAUGAUUUCUGUCCAGCUGUGGUUAUCUUUAAGGAUUAUGAAAUUCUCAGGGUCUAAUCCUAUAAGCCUCGUGAGUGCACAUCAUUCCUAGUCAUGCAAGUAAUACAUUUCUCUCAUUCCAAGUUGUUUAUUGCUCCUAGGUGUAUCCAAUCUCCUGUGAAAUGUUGAAAGGCAAACCUUCUGAAGAAGACAAAACGAAAUACCUCUGCUUUUGCCCAAGCAGAGAGGGAUGGGAAGCAGUAUGUGUGGUAUCAUCUCAGCCCAGUUCUGGGGCAUCUCAGUCCAACUGCUGGGUUACAGAGGGACUAGGAUAAUGAAGUGCUGCAAAAACCCGGAGUGCUGUUAUGCAGAUAUGAAGAUCCAGGGCAGCUGCUGCCUUUGCUUUCACGUCUUCAGAAGUUUCCUAGGAGACUGAUGAGCUCUGGGCAUUAAAGCUGAAGGAGCCAAACACCAAAUUGAAUGUGAAUUGCCAAUGCAGAAUGGAUGAAGAAUGGAAGGAUAUAUCUGGAGGAAGCAUGUCACACGAUGGGAACGGUAGCUUUGACACCAGUUUGUAUUACGUGAUACGAUCAAUGUCCUUUGUACUUCUAAUUAGAAAAAAACCAUCGUCUUACUUGGAGAAAUUUGUCAGAUAAGUAAAGAUCGGGGUGAGCAAUGUUACUGCUUUCUGGGGGCUUGUGUCCUGUUAGAAGUGUGCUGCUGCAAAAUGGCUGUUCCUAGGGUAAGGUUGAUGUGCCAGCUGGAACUGCUGAUUUCCUUUGAAACUCCUGGUUUUGUAAUUAUUCAUGGCAGAAAAAAAAAAAGUUCCUUCCCAUAUGAACGUCUGGCUUGCUGAGCUGUGGGGUGAGCCAAGUAGGUUAUUUUCUUCAGUGUCUGCAUUUUUUCCCAAUUACAUUGUGCCAGUUGUUAGCACACAGUUUUAUUUACCUGUGCUUCCAAAUUCACAAGUUCCCUGUUCUGGAAAAGUUCAGCAGCACCCCUUGGGGAGCUUGUCUUGGGAUUGCCUUGUAUCUAUGAGGGAAUAAUAUUCUUAUGCCCAAUACAGCCCUUUAUGUAAACUUUUUUUUUCUAGAUCGCGUUUCUAACACUUUCUAACCUUAAUUGGGUUUCAGGAAAUGGAAAGGUGGUGCUGUGCGGUGGAGCUGCCAUGCCUUGCCAGACAGUAGCUGAUGGGUGAACUAGAGCUCUAAUUGCUGACACUCUGCUGUGCAAACUGAGAAACCAUGGGCUUGCUGAUCCUAAAAUCAUAAAGCUUCCUUUAACACGUUCUCCUACACAAGCUGCCAUUCCUUAAUCGUGAAUGUUUUGCAUCUAAUGCAGCCCAUGUUAUUCUGGGAAAUCUUACUAAGUCUCUGAUGCUGGCUAACUCUUGAAUCCAUGUGGUUGGACAUGGGAGGAGAAACAUAUCUCAGUGAGAUGAGUGGGAUCUACCAGCACAGAUCACAAGUCCUGGUGUCCUGUGGAUGUGCUGUGUCCUGCUGCAGACGACCUUUGUGUGUCACUUUGAGCUUUCAAAUGCCAGCUCCUGCAUGGGUGCACGGCCUGGCACAAAGCGGGGGAUGGCUCUGAAUGCCAUCAGCACUGAUGGUGGUAUCAAAGAAAAUUGGAACUCACGUACCCAAACUUCUGCAAGUGUGUGAUGAAAGGAUCCCAGAGAACAUAACAAACUUCAUCCCUGCUCUGUCUCUUUUUCCAGCAGUAGAAGCUGCAGGGUGACAGCGGUGGGAUGAUCAGAUGGCCCUUUAGUGGGUAGAAGGAACCCAGGCAGCAGCGGAGGAUGUUGCAGCAGCAGGACUUGAGCGCUGGACCAGAAUGACAGGACUGCGGCGGCGACUGUUCAGCCUUCCAUGGUUCCCAUUUGCCUGUCACUUCCUCGAGUGACGCUGACCUAAAGCUAAAGAACGCUGGGGCUUAUCUAACACAAUUGCACGGACCACAGGAAAGUUUUCAACGCUUGUUGGGCUGGAAGCGUUCAGGAGCAGGAAUUGCAGAGUUUGUACCGUUCCUGGCCUGCUUGAGCCUGAGGCUGCUGCAUGCGACUGCUGUGUGCAUGGUGCUGCUGUGCUUACGCUGUCCGGGCGAGCUGGAACGCUGAGCUAAUUCUAGCUUUGCUAUCCCGCUUCCCAGUUAGGAAAGGCCCCAGGAAGGUAAUGAGAAGGUAUAUGGGAUGUGAUUGAUUUGUUUGGAGUUUUUUUUUUGUUUGUUUUCCUUGCUGAAAAGUUGUUUUGGUAGCUUCAUGUUGGGCCCUCCAGGCCGUAAGAUGACUGAGUGUGGGAGGAGGGCUUGUCAUGAAGCGUUGAUGUGAUUUAUGUAGUUAUAGGUGUAUAUAAAGGACAGGAAAACUUUUUCCUUGUUUUCCAUCUUGUUUGUAACUGUAGAAAUAUCAAGGAUAUCUCACUCUGGUUUCGUUGUACUUUAUCUGUACAGGAAGACUUCCAAGGGCUUGAGAAUCAAAGGUGUCUCAUCUUGAGCGAGAGCCCUGCCUUUUGCAGUGAUCUUGAUUCCUAGAUGCUUAUCGGGAGCUGAUUUAUGUAGGGUUAACAAAAAAGGGGAAAACCCCAAACCCACAGCUCUGUCUUCAUUGCUUGGGUUUCACUCUUCUGAUAGGGGUGCCAUGGAUGAUCCUGGAAGCUCCUUAGUCAUCUGUAUUUGCCAGGAUCAGAGUGAACAAGUCCUAAAGAUCUAACGUUUGAACAAGUUUUUGCUUGUUUCUACAUUGCUCUUAUUGUUCAUGGGAGGCUGCCUGCCCAUCUGGUUUUUUCCUAGUUCUUACUUAAAUUUCAGAGACUAAAGCCAGUCCAAGAGCACUCCCAGCCUGGAUCAGCGGGUAAGAGAUGGGCUUGCUUGAAGAUCCCACCACAGUGGUGCCUUGCAUCAGACUAGAUUUGGGAAACAUGCACUUCAACCAAAGACUUUGAGGAUGUUGAAAUUCUUCAGAUUGUUUUAUCAUUUGAAAAACAAACUUUGCAAGAAUUAAGUUAAAGGUGAAGAGUUCAGUGUUCUUCCUCCACCAGCGGGGUGUUCAGUUUCAGGCCCUGAGCUGUGCUGGAAAGAGUUGGUGUUUAACAAUGUCUGUGUCCAAAAAAAAAAAAAAAGCAAAGGCAGCUUGAACUGCUAGUGUCCCCGAUUCAUUUCCUUUGCUGGUAUCUGCAGAUGCUGUGUCCCUUGGGCAGCGCUCUCCAGCUGUACUCGUAGCGCAGCUUGUAACCAGGGAGGGAUUACAAAGCCUGGGAUUUCUUCCCUUGUGCUCCCAGGCCAGUUGUGAAGCCCUUGGGGCUGGUUCAGUGAAGCCUGUGGGGCAAGUCAUUGCUGGGCUGUAUCCGAUGGGAGUCCAGCUCCCCAGCUGGGUGUAGGAUCCUCUUUGCCCUUGGUUUUUUGCUUUCCUGAUGCUCCCCCCUCGGUGGGUUGCUUCUUUCUGCGUCGGUCAAGCACGAAGCAGAGGAAGGUCCUUGUGGGGUUCCUAGAGGGCUGUGCUUUGGGAACAGCAGGUACUUUUUUGGGUGUCAUGGGCUGUGUGCCUACAGUUUGAGCAAGAGUCAUGAGGGGCAGCAUGGCUUAACCACAGCUUCUGCCUCUUCACCGGAAGGUGCAAUGGAUUUCAGUGCUCUGAGGGUUUUGCAUUUCUCUUAAUGUUUGCUGAAAUGAGCAGAGAGCUGUGAAAUCCCAUCCUGGCAUGGGUGUGAAUUUCCCUUCAGUUGUAAAUCUUCUUUAAAGGCAAAGGGAUUAUAAUUUUAAAAUACUGAGAUGUAGAAUACUUGCUUUGCAGAGGCUUGAGGUGAAAAGACUUGGUGCCAGAAGUUACUGCUGUGGACACGUUAACUCUUUUUGCAGGAGCGGCUGAGGGUUGUGUGUAUCAUUUCCUUUUAAUCUGCCCAUAAAUUCCAGGUUCCUUCUCCUCUUUGAAGCUCCUUAAUGCUUAAAUUGUUCUUUUUCUCUACCCAUACAUACCAAUUGCACCGGUUGUCUUACUGCAGUCUUCUUCCCUAUUGCAUCGCUACUGAACAUAACUUCCCUUUUUUGCUUCUGGGAAUAAAGUGAGACCUCUCUUUUCCUAGGAAAUGCUGACUGUUGGGAAUGCUGCCUGCCUUGUACUGGGGAGCCUCCCUGCAUCCCAGCUGGGCUUUGUUUUCUGGUGGGGUUUUUGUGGCGACCCCUCAGAUGCUGUGGAUUUACAGCCUCACUUGUCCUCUGGAACCUUGAGUAAGCGUGCUCCAGCUUCUCUGGGGCUCCUGCUCCGCUUCUGGUUAAAGCCUGAGAUCUUCCCCUGGUCUCCUCCCCUUCAGACCUGUCUGUAGCUGUCUUUGUGGAGAGGACACUCUUCCUUCUGUGAGCUUUCAUCCUAGCACCUCUCUAGCUCUUGAUCUUGCCUCCACUCCUGUCUUGGUAGCUAGCUCUGACCGUGAGAAUUGUCGUUAAAUGCUUCUAUUUUCUAGCACUUUUGCAGAUUUCUGUAGUGUUCCAAGCACGGGAUUUUAAAGUUCAUUAAGAACAAGCAGAACUGCCUGUUCAUCUCCUCUUGGGCUUUCCGGGGUUCCCAGGGCAAACGCACUUACUCCUUGCAUAAUGCUGCGUUGCUUUCAGAUUGUGGGAUAGAUUGAGGUCCUCGCCGGGAGCGCUUUUGCAGAAGCAAGCAGGCGAUAGCAGCGCUCUGGUGUGCCACGAGGAAGGGCUGGCCUGACUGCGAUGGCUGCCAGCACGGUUUCUUAAAUCUUCACGUUUCUUCGGAAUGUGGAGGGAGUGCAGUAGAGCACCGUGCUGGGAAAAGGCAAUUCCUUCCCUGCGACGAGUUUUAGUCUUUGCCGUGUUAAAGAUUGGGACUGUUCGGAAACGACUGAUCCUGUUGCGUUUCCUCAGUGCAGCAGUCAGGACACACAAUUUCCUUUACCUGUUCCACCUGGAAAGAAACUAAUUAAAUAAAAACGGAGGAUAUAAUUCUGAAGCUUGCUUGCUGCUGGGAAUUUUUUGUCCUAUUUGGCAACAACCUGCCAGGUAACUUAAUUCACCAUGAUGAAACAGCAGAGAAGUGGAAGUGAGAUUCAAACGGUUAUCAUGUUGAAGCUUCAGUUUUGAUCUUUAUUUCACUAACGCUUCCACUGCUGCUCACUGCGCUGGGAAUGCCCUGUUAAAGUGGGUGUGGGCCUCAGAGGAGAACUUUUUCUGAUCAGGUACCAUCUUGCACAGUGGGGCUAGGUGAAGUGCGAUUCCCUGGCGUGGUUUGUGGAUCGCUGCUGUUAACAUCCGCGAGAAGCCCUGCGCGUGGCUCUUGUCCAGUUGCGUCUUGAAACGAGAAGGGAAGACGCUGGAUUUCUUGCUGUGUACCAGCCUUACCUGCGCUGUCGGAUCAGAGCCAGCGACCUCGGGGUGAUGCUGUGGCCAAGACCUGCUCUACACCAAAACUGUUGGCUACAGCUGUAACUGGGUCCUUACGAUGAACACAAGGCGCUCUCCCUGCUCUGGCGUGGUAGGAUAGCGCAUUUCCUUUGUGCUGUAGGAGCUCCUGCCCUGCUAACCACCACAGCACGGCCAGCGUGGUCCCUUCUGCGUGUGCCACCUGAACUGCGUCAGAGUUGUGCAAAAAACCCCCAGUUCAGUCUAGAGAUCUCGCAGCUCGAUUGCCUAGGAAGAUGUUGCAGAGCAAGGAAGUGGUGCUGGGGUGCAGAGGGGACACUGCACAUCCAGCAGCGUGGUUUGGUGUGAAUACUUUGUCUAAAACGUGUUUCUGUGUCACAGGGUCCUGCUGUGGUUUGACAGGCCCAUGAGAAACUCAACUUGAGCAUUUAUGUUAUCUUGCUGCCCCCACCCCUAAUUCAGGAGCAUCAUCUGAAUAAGAUGUGUUGUGAAGAGCAUUAAAAUGUGUGGAUGGGGGAAGCUGAUACAGAACUUAAAUAAUUAGCAGUAAUUUGUGUGGCAUUGGGGUGGGAGAUGUUUGCAUAAGUUAUUGACAGAGUUGUGUAGGUUCCAUCUCAGCUAAACUCUCCCUGAGAUGUUCUCUCCUGAAAGCUUACAGCUCUGGCUUAUAAACAUGUACAAUAGACAACAUAAAUAAACAGAAAAUUGUACCCAAAGCCAGUAGGUAGGCAGGGAAAGCCUCCCUGCCUAGUGAAGCUUCAGGCAGCCCCUCCUCCCAUGCCUGAGAGCUGAUCACAUUUAAACAUGGGCUGUUAUGCUAUGCUUCAUCGCUUUAAGACAGGCCUUUGCAGGGGCAUAUUCCAAAAAUGUCAGGGGCCAAACAGUAUGUCCCUAACUUUCUAAACAUUCUUCUGGCGUUAAAGGGUCAGUUUCUCCAGGGUGAAAUCUGGAGGGGGAAGUAAGAAAACUUUACAACUCUAAAGAAAAUAGCAAUGGGAACUUUAUUUUUGCUUGUCAUCGUUUUUUGAUUCAGCCGUAAGUAUUCUUUAUUAAAAAGUGACCCUGGAAGUUUUUAGAAGUUUACUGAAACCUUUUAGUUUCUCUUCUUAGAUGCAGAGGUUGGCUGGCCUGGAGAGAUGUUUAGGGAGCUCUGAGCUCAGCCAUGUUGGUGUGGUGGGGAUGCUGCACAUCUAGGACUCCGGUACUGAAGACUUUCUACUUUUAAACAUCUGCAGGGCACCGCUCUCCAGCCCUGUGGCUGCACAAAAGCCUCACGCAGCAACUGGAGGCAGCCAAAUGGCUCCUGGAGAUAGGGUGACGGUUCUGUUAUCUGCAGCAGCUUUACUGUCACACGGAAAGUAAAAGCACCACAACCUGAUGCUUCUCAGCUGUGGAGCUGGCUUGGACCCGCUCCAGCGCUCGUGGCCAGGUGGCAGCUGUGCAGGCUCGGUGCGGAGGGAUGAUAAUAGCGCCGAGCUGUAAACAGGACGCUCCACCCUGCCGCGGCUCCUCUCCCUCCCGCACCCUCCGCCUCGGGCCCGGCACGCUGCGCUGUGCACGCAGCCUUUGCACC